rnacentral:misc_RNA from 1 species
AUUUUAUUUUUUUAAUUUGCAUAAAAUUUUUUUCUGAAAAAUUACUCCAAUUUUUCACAAGUAGACAUACCUCAAACAUUUAAAAGAUCUCACACAAAAGAUAUUAUUUAUAGAAAAAUAAAGUAAGAAUAAUUCCAGAAUUGAUUAGGUUGACUUACCAUCAAGGGUUCUGAUAAAAGAACAAAAUAAACAAUGUGAAAUAGUCUAACCCAACAACACGUUUUCUUAGAAAAUAAUACAGUAAGCUCAAAAUAGAGUUGAAAAAUAGGUUGAAUUGGAUAUAUUCAAAUUCAAGUUAUUUUGGAUUGUAUAUUAGCUUAAGUUUUGUUUCAUUUAGUAGCG